rnacentral:rRNA from 1 species
UACGUAGGGUGCAAGCGUUGUCCGGAAUUACUGGGCGUAAAGCGCGUGUAGGCGGCCGAUUAAGUCUGGUGUGAAAGCCCGGGGCUCACCCCCGGAAGUGCGCUGGAAACUGGUCGGCUAGAGUAUGGGAGAGGAAAGUGGAAUUCCCGGUGUAGCGGUGAAAUGCGCAGAUAUCAGGAAGAACACCAAUGGCGAAAGCAGCUUUCUGGGACGGUACUGACGCUGAGACGCGAAAGCGUGGGGAGCGAACAGG